UCUGGAAGAGCAGUUGGUGCUCUUAACCUCUGAGCCAUCUCUCCAGCCCCUGGCCUUUGGAUUUUUUGAGUCUCUUUUAUGUCUCAUGACCUCCUGUUCUUCUGGAGCUCAUGGAAACUCAAUACUUGUUUGAUGAGUGACUGUGGUAUUGGAAUAUAAAUUCGAAGACUGUCUUGAGAAAGGAGAAAGUUUCCAGGGGUUUCCUGUCAAGCUGUACUCCCCAUCCUUAGCCCACAAACUCUGUGGGUUUUGCUAUGUUAAGUAGUUGGAACAUCAGAGGAAGAAUAUUUUAUUGCAGGCAAAAAUAAGAUAUUCAAAUUUCAAUAUCCAUGGAUAAAGUUUUAUUGGAACACAGGAAGUAGACAAAAUAUUUUUGUACUAAGAUCAUUGACCCAUUUAUUGAAGAAGCACAGAUUUUAAUUUAUAGGAUGCUCCCAAACUACUUCUACAGUAGUAGUUUACAUCCCAAUUCAGGAACACUCAGAGAGCUGCAGGGCUUUUGUUGCUCGAUUUCCUCGUCUGCUUGGUGCAGAGACACUCUGGUCCCAAGGGAGCUUAUGCUGCCUGUUGGAGGGCAAAGAUGAGGGGCACAAUAGUGCAGUUCAGUGGGGAGUCCAGAUUUCAGGUGGUAAUAAAAAACACGGAAAGUCAAAUGGCAACAUUCUGUCUGCCCCAUGAGCUCCAGCCAGAUGCUCUCAGGCUUGGAGGCUAGAGAUGCAUGAAGUGAGCCUGUGGUACCCCAAGUUUACAGAUGAGAUUUCUGCAAGGAAGCAACUUGCCUGAGGCUAGGUGGAGACUUGACCAUUUUCUUUCUUUAGCUGCUUGUCUGGACUUAGCUCAAAGCACCCUUACUUUGGAGAAAGAGCCAUAGACCUGCUUUCAGGACAUUUCUAGCAAGCACACGAGUCGUCACCGGCUGGGUGGAUACUGGGAUUUAAAAAGCAGAAUGUAAGAUAGGAAGGAUCUGGAUCCUUUUUACUUAAGAUAUGGUUGUCAGAUCAGCAGCACAGACACUACCCAGCUGCUGGUCUCCUGCAGGGUGACAGGUGUUUCUAGGGCUUGUGCUAGACCUUGGAUGGCACGAACCAUCUGGAGUUGAAUUAGUUCCUAACCCACAUGUAUCUCAGAAUACCCAGGGAACUUACAUCAGGCUAAUGGAGACCUGGGGUCUAUCCAAUGCUCCCUACCCCCUUCUUCUGUGGUUGGAAUAAGCUAUAAUUCCUCACAGAGUCAUUUUCCUUCUGUAAAAUCCCCAAAUCAGUCAUUUUCAAUCUUAACUGCCCAUUGUUACUGCCUGGAGAGGCUUUAAGUUGUUCUGAUAGCUGAGGGCCCACAGUCAGAAAAUCUGUGUCAAAUGAUACAUUUUCCACAUCAUUGUAAUUGGUCCCUGACUUCUGAAGAUUGGGCAUGCAGUUUUGACUUUAUGAUGGUGUGAAAGUGAUAUAUAUUUAGUAAAAAGCACACCUUCGAUUUUGAUCUUUUUCCAAGUCAAUGAUAUGUGAUAUGAUACUCUCUUGUCAUGGUGUCAACCAAAGGAAAUGAAAAAUAUUUUGGAGUGGUCUGUGUGGCUAAGCUAGCAUGUUUGGUAGAUGGCAUGUAUGGAAUAUCCUUGAGCUUACAACAGUUUGUCUAGCUCUAACAUCAUUAGCCUCUGUAUCCUGCAGGCAGUGUUGAGAGCCAGGGAGCCAUAUCACUGUUCUCAGACCUAAGGACACAGCAGCACUUGGCUACGUGAUCCUCAGAGAUUCAGAAGCGCGGGUGCAGCUCAGCUCUGGAUUUAUUCAGUGAGUCAAGCAUCCACCUCCAAGAGAUGACUGCAAACAAUGCUAUAGUUAAACAAGGAGUGAUGAAAACGUAAAUGCUCCUUCAAGGCUCUCUAUCAGUUUUAACGUGUGAUUUGGAAGUCAGCAUGUGGUAAGGCUGAGCAUAAGUGUGUCCAGUAGGCUUCAUACAUGAUGCAAGAAGAGCAGCUUGGGAAACCCUAGACUCUGGCCUCUGAGGUCUUUCAGCUCCGAUUCUGAGGUCUCUCAGGGUAAUGAUUCAGUUCCUCCUCCCCAUGCUGGAGCCACUUGUUGACGGUAAGCUCAGGAGACGUCACCAUUUGUAAGCUCAGCUUCGGUGUCCCCUGAGAGAGCAGCCAGCUGGCAGCAGUCUGGAAAGCAGUAAACACAUUUGACUUUCCUCUAUUGGCAGUGCCACAUGGACACGAUGUCCGAGAAGACUGGGUCUCUGGGUCGAGGCAGGCAGCAGAGCCUCUGCUGCUUUGCACCAAACCAAGGGCAAGCCCGAUUCCUGCUGUUUGCUCUGUAUGCUGGCCCAAAGAACCCUGACUAAUCAGAUGGAGAACAUAAUGGUUGAAGUGAGCACGGGACUUGGCGCUUCCUGCACAUCCUUAUGAGUCCUCAGGCUCAGGCUGAGCACCAUAUUUCUGCAUCUAGCCUAUGGAUCAAUACUGCACUGAUAUUUAAAUAACAAAUAUUUAUUGUGUAUUUAGUCUUGUCUACAGUGAUGAUGUAUUUCACAUGUUCACUUAUUUAAUCAAUAAACAGUUAUUAGGUAUCUA